GUGAGUAACACGUGGGUAACCUACCUAUAAGACUGGAAUAACUUCGGGAAACCGGAGCUAAUGCCGGAUAACAUAUAGAACCGCAUGGUUCUAUAGUGAAAGAUGGUUUUGCUAUCACUUAUAGAUGGACCCGCGCCGUAUUAGCUAGUUGGUAAGGUAAUGGCUUACCAAGGCGACGAUACGUAGCCGACCUGAGAGGGUGAUCGGCCACACUGGAACUGAGACACGGUCCAGACUCCUACGGGAGGCAGCAGUAGGGAAUCUUCCGCAAUGGGCGAAAGCCUGACGGAGCAACGCCGCGUGAGUGAUGAAGGUUUUCGGAUCGUAAAACUCUGUUAUUAGGGAAGAACAAAUGCGUAAGUAACUGUGCGCAUCUUGACGGUACCUAAUCAGAAAGCCACGGCUAACUACGUGCCAGCAGCCGCGGUAAUACGUAGGUGGCAAGCGUUAUCCGGAAUUAUUGGGCGUAAAGCGCGCGUAGGCGGUUUCUUAAGUCUGAUGUGAAAGCCCACGGCUCAACCGUGGAGGGUCAUUGGAAACUGGGAAACUUGAGUGCAGAAGAGGAAAGUGGAAUUCCAUGUGUAGCGGUGAAAUGCGCAGAGAUAUGGAGGAACACCAGUGGCGAAGGCGACUUUCUGGUCUGUAACUGACGCUGAUGUGCGAAAGCGUGGGGAUCAAACAGGAUUAGAUACCCUGGUAG
rnacentral:rRNA from 1 species